AUUAUGACGCUGCUUAGUGAAAGCGCAGACAGAACUUUGAACGACUGUUGUCUGCUCCCAAGUGUCUCUGAAUCCUCGAUCACAUACGUCCGUGACUGCACCAGGUUUCCAUCCAGGGCGAGGUUUGUUAUUGGCCUGAUGGCAGCUGGCGGUGAGGCAUUCGAACAUGUAAAAAAGACCAUCUUAUCAGCUCAUAAAAGCAC